CUUUCAUGUGUACUUCUAAUAUAUAAUGGACUAUUUUCAGCACACUGUGAAGUCCAAUGCCUGCAAAUUCCUGUAUAUAAGUUGUUUGCAUGUAAAACAUCAGUACUUUGGGCAAAGUGCCAAUCAACCUGAGAGCGGUUCUCAGACCAUAUGGCAACAUCAAUAUACCUUUGUGCAAUGCAAGAGUGCUGAGCUACUGCGCUCCUAAAAACAUUU